rnacentral:lncRNA from 1 species
GGAAAACCUGCCAGUGAUGGAGAGUUCCUGAAGACAAUUUUGUUGCUGGACUGAUUAACUCAGCAGACAGACUGUCUGUGGGAACUCUGUCUCUGGGAAUCUGAUGGUCAUGUGGCCGGGAUGACGACUGGGCAAGUAUGGAGACUUUAGUGGGUGGGGUUUCCUCCGUUGAGUUUCUUUCAGAUUGCUGCAGAAAGCCCUCAGCAUUGGGACACAAAGAGAGGUUUGGAUGCGCUGGGAGGACCUUUCACUGUCUCAAACUGUCUCUUAACAGCAGCCUUUCAGUUCUGCCUCACUCACGGUUUCUCUGGGUAAGUCAUCACUCCUUUGAGAUGUGGCAUCAUCAGUGUGUGCGGGAUAUGCCUAAGGAAAUUGUUCCCCCCUGAGGUCACUGACAGACAGGACGCACAGGAUCAGGAUCUUGAGCUCAGGGCCUCAAGACUGAAUGGAGGUUGCCUAAGGCUUGUGAUAAUAGGCUCUCUGUGUCUGAUGGUUGGAAAUGGCUUACCUCUGGCCAUCAUUUUCAAUACCUCAGAAACCUGUUUCCCACCCGCAGAGACAGGAUAAAAAAACACUACAGAGAUGCCCAGGGAUGACCCAGAAAAUUGUUGCGAAUGCAUCUCCCCAUCUCUUUAGUGGCAGCAACUUCUGUCUUUGUCUCUUUAGCUUCUUUAGUCACCUCUCUACCUUCUACUUGGAAAAAUGACCCUAUGUGCAUUGCUGUGAUUCUGACUACUGUUUUCUUAGGAGCCAGCUUCCACUAUUUCCUCAAGUGGACAACAAACUGAAACUGUAGGCAACAGGUUUUUAGCCCAGUACACAGGAUUCUGGAACUCUCUUUCAUUCUUUUGAGAGCAAAGGCUGUAGGAGGCUAUGAGCUAGAAUUAUAUCGCUCAGCUGAGGUAAGCAAACUGGGCCAUGCAGAUGCCCAGUCCAUCCGGUCUGUUUAUAGCAUCUGUACAUGCAUACAUACACGUAUGCAUAUAUACUUACACACAUAUGGGAUAGAUAGGUACAUACAAACAGAUGAUAGACAGUAGACAGAUGAUGGGUGGGAGGUGCAUGACGCAUGGCGAUGCAGACAGAUUAACAUGAAUGCCCUGUGUUUAUACUCUCACCACCUGAAUAGGUAACUCUGGUCAGUCCACUCCUAGUGUUUAACUCUCCAAAGUUCUACUAGUUCCAAAGCCCAGAGUUUGUCCCACAGAAUACAGAACUUGACAGUGCUGUAGGAGUCAAGAAUGAGCCACAAACAACACGUGCUCAGCAAGCAGCAAAUGCUUGCAAGUGGUUACGGACUCCACAGCAUUUGACAUUACUUUGUUAGGGCUCCCUGUCCUUGUAUUGUCACAGCAAUACGAGAAAACGUGUAUUGAUCAUGCACGUGGCUCCCUCUUUUAUCAAUGAACUUUGACUACAAUUUCAAAGUUGUACUUUCUAGGUAAAGACUGCAAAUGAAUUUCACACUGCCUGGUGUUGUCCGUGGAGCAGGUCUGAUGUCACCCAGGGCUUAUGACACCCUAAAGGUACCUGGUCCUUACUUGGCACAAAGCACAUACAUAUAUCAUUGAGCUUGUUUGCAUAUUUUCACAAUGACCAAGCUGGACUUUUUUUUUUUUUUAAGUUUUCUGGGUAUGGGUGUGGGCAUACAUGUGUGCAUGUUUUGUGGACAUGUGUGUGGAGGCAGAGGUUGUUGUCCAAUGUCUUCCUCAAUCGCCAUCUAUCUUACUUUUUGAGAUAAGGCCUAUUCACUGAAAUUGGAACUCAAGGAUUUGCUGGCCAGUCAGCUCCAGAGAUUCCCGCCCCCCAUUCAAGGAUCUGGCAUGCACCCCCAAACCUGGCUUUUUACACAGCAUUAGAAGGCCUAAUUCAAGUCAGAAAGCACUUUAUUGAUGGAGUCAUCUUCCCACGCCUAAGUCCUAUCCUUUGUGUCUUGAGUAGUCUAAUCAGUGUGAAGUUAAACUGUUAAUUCACAGAAGUAUGUUUAUCUCUGAGCAACACUUUAUUUUCUCCUGCUAUAGAGGUAUCAACUGGGAGAAAGACUGUAAAAGACAAAUGUGAUAUUUCCUCCUGCAAAGGGUUUUGUUUUGACAGCAGCUGAUGAGCUUUGAGGAACAAGUUCACACUCUUCAGCUCUGUGUCUUAAGCAUCACCACCACUGUCCAUCAUUUCGCUGUUGCUAUGGUAACACAACCCUGGCAGAAGCAGCUUAACGGGGACUUUAUUUUGGCGCACAGUUUCAGAGGGACAAAACCCAUCAUGCAUGGAAGACAUGGGGGCAGAAGCAAGAGACAAGCCAAUCAUAUUGCAUCUACACUCAGGAUGUGGGGCCAGACACAGAGCUUCAAACCCUCACCCCCAACACUAGUGGCUUACUUCCUUUUCCCUAGGCUUUCCCCUCUAAAGGCUCCACAAUCUUCCAAACAGCUCCACCAAGUGGAGAAGAAGUGUUCAAACAUGCAAGUCUCUGGGGGACAUUUCACUUCCAAACCACAGCAGUCAAUAAGGGGCACCAUUUCCCAUGCAGUGCUGCCUUCCUGCUGACACUCAGCAUCAAAACAUACAUGUGGCGGGCCCUUCAUCAUUGUGUACCCUCAGCACGACAUCUGAGCCAUGCAAGCAGCUAAGUCUCGACAAAGUCACAAGGGGCCAGAGGAUGUAAUCCACUCUCCCAGUGCCUCUUGUGACCCAAUGACCACUGCUUUAGGAGGUAAGCUACCUGUAAUUUUCUUUUAGAAUUAAAAUAGUAGAUUUCGCUUCCUCUCCAUGCCAGGUAGCUGUUAUUUUCACGUUUUAGCAAGAUUUAAGAAAAACACCUGAAAGCCUUAUAGAUUUUCCACUGUUACCCACUCCCUGCGUCCCUUAAAUAAAGAAGCCCAUAAUUGAUUAAUGAAAAGCCAAGUCAUUUUGGUAUUAAUACAAUCCCCUGGGUGGGCCUCUAAUCACACCUGGCAGGCCUGUAACAGCAUCGCUCUGUUACACGUCCAGGUUAAAAACCUGCAAAUCAACACAGCCCACAAGGAGAUUUUCAGUAUUUCCAAUCUGAUAAUCCAUGAUAAAUGCCUGCCAGAGGUUGGUCAGAGCCCAGGCCCUUUAGGAUUUUAAGCCUCUCUGCUUGUUAAAAAUGUUUAUACCUGAGUAUUCAAAGUUGGUACCCAUUUACACGAAUAUGCCUAACACAUGAGUGUUGCAAAUGCAGAAUUAAAAUACCACAUUAUCUCAUUUCUCCAUGAAAACAUAGUUGGAUAUUUGGCAGGGUCCUUCAGGUGGCUCUGCAUGAACCUCAGACAGAGCCACCUCUGAUGAGCAGAGCCAUUUCUGUGACUGAGUAUGUCAGUCUAUGCAGCCUUGUUUGAGCAGAUGGACCAGUGUGGGAGUCCACUCUCACUCCUCCUCCCUAGGGCCCAAAGCAUAUCCAGUCACAGGCAACACAAAAAUAUAAAUAUUAAUCUCAGGCUAGUGAGAGGGCUCAGUGGUUAGCAGUGCUUGCUGCCAAGCCUGAAGACCCAACCUUGAUCCCUGGACCUUCAUGGUAAAAGGAGAAAAUUGACUCUGGCAAGCUGUCCUCUGACACCCCCAUGCACACCACAGCACACACACACACACACACACACACACACACACACACACACACACACACGCGCACACACACCAACACUGAGUAAACAAAAGCAACAAAACUUUUGUUGCUUUUGGAAAACAAGGGUGUCAUGGAAGAACAGCAGGCUACUUAACUCUGCACCUUUAGAAGGAAUCUUCCAGAAGGCACUGCUCAGUGUGAGUUCUUAUAGUGGUUGAUCUUGACUGUCAACCUGGCAGGAUUUAGAGUCACCAUGGAAACAAAUACGAGCCAUGUGUUUCUGGAUUAGGUUAACUGGGCUGGUCUUAAUUGCGAAGGUCUUCUACCUAACCUGUAUGUGAGCAAUACCACCCCGUGGUCUGGAUACGCAAACCAAGCAACAGCAACCACACCUCUGCUUCCUGACUGGAUGCCAUGUGACCAGCUGCUCAAGCUCCUGCAGCUGUGACCGUAGCCUGAACUGGGGACCCAAAUCAGCUUUAAUUGCAUUAAUUGCUUUCAUCAGGUUCUUUGUCAUGGCAGGACAAGUGACUACUACAACUUCCCCUCGUCCACCUUGCCUCCAGCUCUGUCUACACCUAGCUCUUUUGUUAAUGGUGGUUGCGAUGUCUCGUGUGUCUGUGGAGAGCAACUCGACCAGCUCACGGGUGUCGGGCUCACAUUCAAAGAAAGCUCAACCUUCAUAACAACACAAGCUGUAAUGCCAGCACCAGGGGAUGGAGGCAAGAAGACAAGGCAAGCUUCAGGCCAGCCUGGCCUACCAAAACCAAGAACCAAAAAACCUAACCCAAUUCGUAAAAUCAAAUCAGAUUCAAUCAAGUUACUUAGCAUAUCCAGUACCGGCCUCACCCACCAGCACCACAGGCACCAUUGCUAAGUGUCUGAGCUGACCAGUGCUAAUCACACUGAGCCUUACAGUCUCCACCCAUCUUUAUCCUAAAUGGCAAGUCUGACCCAUUCAGCAGCAGGUUUUCAUUCUCACCCCUUCCCUGAUAACCUUGACUCUCUUCCCACUCUCUGUGACUCGUCUGUCCUACCUACCUCAUGGGAGUGGAGUCAUACAAGGUUUCUUCCUUUGCAGUUGGCUUAUUUUACUGAGCAAAGUGCUUUUAAAGAUUCACCCAUAGAGUACCAGGGGUCGGAAUGCUACUCCUCUUAUGGCUAAGUAAUAUUCCAUUGCAUCUCACGCUGUGUGUAUUCACUCAUCCGUCAGCGGAUACUUGGGUUAUGUAGUAUUGACUACUGUGCCUUUCAAUUAAAGAAAAAAAACAAUCUGUUU